AGAGUUUGAUCCUGGCUCAGGAUGAACGCUAGCUACAGGCUUAACACAUGCAAGUCGAGGGGCAGCAUGGUCUUAGCUUGCUAAGGCCGAUGGCGACCGGCGCACGGGUGAGUAACACGUAUCCAACCUGCCGUCUACUCUUGGACAGCCUUCUGAAAGGAAGAUUAAUACAAGAUGGCAUCAUGAGUCCGCAUGUUCACAUGAUUAAAGGUAUUCCGGUAGACGAUGGGGAUGCGUUCCAUUAGAUAGUAGGCGGGGUAACGGCCCACCUAGUCUUCGAUGGAUAGGGGUUCUGAGAGGAAGGUCCCCCACAUUGGAACUGAGACACGGUCCAAACUCCUACGGGAGGCAGCAGUGAGGAAUAUUGGUCAAUGGGCGAGAGCCUGAACCAGCCAAGUAGCGUGAAGGAUGACUGCCCUAUGGGUUGUAAACUUCUUUUAUAAAGGAAUAAAGUCGGGUAUGCAUACCCGUUUGCAUGUACUUUAUGAAUAAGGAUCGGCUAACUCCGUGCCAGCAGCCGCGGUAAUACGGAGGAUCCGAGCGUUAUCCGGAUUUAUUGGGUUUAAAGGGAGCGUAGAUGGAUGUUUAAGUCAGUUGUGAAAGUUUGCGGCUCAACCGUAAAAUUGCAGUUGAUACUGGAUAUCUUGAGUGCAGUUGAGGCAGGCGGAAUUCGUGGUGUAGCGGUGAAAUGCUUAGAUAUCACGAAGAACUCCGAUUGCGAAGGCAGCCUGCUAAGCUGCAACUGACAUUGAGGCUCGAAAGUGUGGGUAUCAAACAGGAUUAGAUACCCUGGUAGUCCACACGGUAAACGAUGAAUACUCGCUGUUUGCGAUAUACAGCAAGCGGCCAAGCGAAAGCGUUAAGUAUUCCACCUGGGGAGUACGCCGGCAACGGUGAAACUCAAAGGAAUUGACGGGGGCCCGCACAAGCGGAGGAACAUGUGGUUUAAUUCGAUGAUACGCGAGGAACCUUACCCGGGCUUAAAUUGCAGAUGAAUUACGGUGAAAGCCGUAAGCCGCAAGGCAUCUGUGAAGGUGCUGCAUGGUUGUCGUCAGCUCGUGCCGUGAGGUGUCGGCUUAAGUGCCAUAACGAGCGCAACCCUUAUGGACAGUUACUAACGGGUGAAGCCGAGGACUCUGUCUAGACUGCCGGCGCAAGCCGCGAGGAAGGUGGGGAUGACGUCAAAUCAGCACGGCCCUUACGUCCGGGGCGACACACGUGUUACAAUGGCAGGUACAGAAGGCAGCCAGUCAGCAAUGACGCGCGAAUCCCGAAAACCUGUCUCAGUUCGGAUUGGAGUCUGCAACCCGACUCCAUGAAGCUGGAUUCGCUAGUAAUCGCAGAUCAGAAUGCUGCGGUGAAUGCGUUCCCGGGUCUUGCACACACCGCCCGUCAAG
rnacentral:rRNA from 1 species